ACGUUCUGCGCGCGCUUGGCGCGCUUUUGUGCGUGUCGAGAGCGUAUAACAUAGGUGUUCUGUGGUAUAACGUGCGCGAUAUUCGUGCGAGCGCAGUUUGACUUGAGCAAUCGUGGGCUUGGACUCCGUGACAUUUGCUUUCGUCAUAUGCGAGUUAGGGGCUUGCCGACAGAUGCAAAAGCUGCCUCCCUUAUCUGGAACAGAAUAAAUUCCUUUCGAAGGCAAAAUAAAAAACAGAAAGAGAAGUCAUCAAGGCAUUCCACAUCCAUCUUAUUCAGUCUUUACAGUGUUGCUACAUCACCAUUUGCUUAGCCUCCUAUGCCAAAAAAACUUGACGAAAAUAAAAUGACCUGAUUUCCAUGUUUUUCACCAUCCAA